rnacentral:misc_RNA from 1 species
CCAGAGGUUUGAAAAAACCCCUAAACCCGUGUCAACGUACCUGUUUCCAGUUGCUUCGGCAGGCGGCCCCAGGGCGGGGCCCCGGGCCUUUACAGGCGCCUGCCGGAGUCGACGCACACCAAACUCUUGUCUCCCCCCCGGGGUUGUCUCUGAGUACAAUACGAAAUAAGUUA